GCAGUGAGCAGCUGUGACCACCCAGCGGCUGCUGAGCAGGGAGCCCGCACAGUGGUGGGUGCCGUUCUUCUGGAGGCUCACGACCCAGGGCCACUGGGCGUCGGUGCUGUCUUCGCCACCUACGAUCCGGUUCAGCUGCUGGGGCUUCCCGCAGGCUGGGGGUGCUGGCGGAGGAGGGGCCCAUUUCUGUCACCCGGGGCCUUCUGGCCCUGCUGGCACCCCGUGUCCUCCUGGCCUCCUCCGGCCUCUGCCCUCCCCCGCUGCCUUCCCGCGCCCUCCGCCCCCUGCUGCCCUGCCCCGGGCCCUCGCCCAGUCCCUGCUCUGCCCUGCAGGCCCCGCCGCUGCCUGCUCGGCGCCCUUGUGACCUGCUCCCCCCACAGAGGACACAAGCGCCCCCUCCCACCGCGCAGGACCCCACUCACUGGCGAUCUCCGCAGCACGGAGGGCGGCUGGGGGCGAGACAAAGAAGGGUCAGGCGGCGGAGGGGAGCCCCCCGGGGCCCGGGGCAGGUCCCCAGGUCCAGGGUGGGGCAUUUCCUGGAGCCCAGGCUGGGCGAUGGAAACGUCAGGCUGGAAGCUGCGGCCUCCCCUCCCGCCAGCUUCCUGUCCAGCCUGUGCCCGCGCUCCGUGCCACCUGCCUGCUGGAGGAGGAACUGGCUCCUGGGUGCCUGGCACCGAGGGCAGGGGCGGGGAGCCCACCCCGACCCUCUGGGGCGCUCCCCCCAGACCUGAGGCUGCGGCCCGGGAGACCCUCUCAACCCCACACCCAAGGCCUGGAAGCCUGCGGACCCAAGAGCUGGGAGGGACAAGGACAAGGUCAGGCCUCUGCCCAGAGUCGUCCCCUGCUGGCAGCCACUGGACAUGGCAGAGAGGAGCGAGCCAGUGCAGAAGGGGAGGGGACAGGGCCGGAGGGGACAGGGCUGAGGGCCGGGGGCAGGCAGGUGCGGGAGGCCAAGGGAAGGCGCUGGGUAUGGACGGGGACGGGCCGCAGGUCGUCAGGACUCACCUGCAGAAGCCAGAAGCAGCAAGGGGGUGACGAUCCUGAGACAGCCCCCACCUGGGGCUGGGGGGCCUCUGGAAACCAUCAUGGCCAGCGGGGGCGCAGGCACAGCUGGGAGAGCAGGCCUGCCCGAGAGGGAGUGUGCAGAGUUCCCUGGGUCCCCCAGGUUUUAUCCUAGAGGUGGAAUGCCGUUGGACCAGUCCCCCAAGAGGGCAGUCUAAUUCUUCUCCGGACCCGACCCUACAGACCCGACUCUACCGAUCCUACCGGAGAAACAACGGGGAGAAAAACCAGACGUGCCCCCUCGUGACUGUGAAGCUCGGACGCUCCGGGGCAGGUGGGCAGAGCGUCUUCCUCCAGGCCAGGCCUCAGUUUACCCAGCUGUGAGGAGGGCUGGUCCCCGCCUGUGUGUCCUGGGCUGGAGCCGCCCACCAACUGAGCAACGCGGGGCCGCCCCAUCCGUGGGCAACGUCCUGCGGGCGCCGAUGGUCUCGGCGGGUGGCCCUGUGGACACCGCCCGCGGCUCUCCUUGGCAGGGAUGACCUCCCCUGGUGGAGCCACGCUCCUGGGAACCCACCUGUCACCCGGGGCCUCCUGCCUCCAGAGUCCAUGAGGCCCCAGCCCUGUCCCAGGUCCCGCUCAGGGCCCCCAUCCCGCACGGGCCGCACCCCCGGCCUCGGUUCUGCCCCGACCGGCCGCAGAGCUCUGCACCGCCCCCUUCCACGUGGUGCGGCGCCAGGGUGCUCGGGGCUCCCCCAACCCCUUCCCCAUCUUCUGGCUCUCCAGCCCCACUCCCACCCACGCCUAAAUUUCUGGGGAACAAAGAUUUCCUGACCUUACUGCCAAUCCUUGUGACACCCGUGUGAGAUGGGGGCUGAGCACCCCCAGUCCUUGGCCUUCCUUUGUCUGGUCUUGGGGUUCCCGGUCCCGGUUGUCUAAGUGGCAACCCCAGCUGCCUCUUAGAAUGUGGGACUUCCAGGGUCCAGGUAUUAAUUAUGUGACUCUUGGGGGCACCUGGGGGGCUCAGCAGUUGAGCAUCUGCCUUGGCUCAGGUCGUGAUCCCGGGGUCCUGGGAUCGAGUCUCACGUUGGGCUCCCCACAGGGAGCCUGCUUCUCCCUCUGCCUGUGUCUCUGCCUCUGUCUCUGUCUCUCAUGAAUAAAUACAUAAAAUCGCUUGUCCACGACCAGGAGGGGUGAGCCCUAGGCCGGACAGGGCCGGGCCCAGAGGAGCCAGCGGGGAACAAGGGCAGAGGGCAACGGGCAAGCUGGCCGUGCCAACUCGCUGGGGACCCAGCGCCAGCUUGGUAACAUGCCGCUGACUCACAGACCCAGGAGAGAGGGAAGGACCUCAGUCUUGAGGUCAGAAGUCAGCCAAGGGCUCACGGCAGGGAAGUGAACGUUGCACGGGAGCAGCCUGCCUGCGGGCAGGCGCACAAUGAGGGCCCCGGUCCAGGGCCCCGCGGGGAGCCCUCAGAGCUGGGAGCUGCAGGCCCCCGCUUUCCUUCAGGGCGCCCUCCUGAGAAGUGACCUAGCCCCCCGGUGACCUGCGUAGUCAUGCCUGCAAGGGGGAGCGUGGAAAACCAGCCCCAACCUCCUCUGCAGGGUGGAGAGCCACCUCCAACCACGUUCCU